rnacentral:lncRNA from 1 species
CCAAGUUUAUUCUGAUCUUUUAAUUAUAUUAUUUUCAAUAAUCAAAGUGUGUUAUUGUUAAAAAUACACGGGUGCUUAUUCAGCGCCCGUGGCCAAGGAUUCGACACUCAAUAUUUAAAUAAACAAUCAAGGUAAAUGUUAGUCGAUAUUACACAAUCUUGACCCAGUUCAAUAUUGGAUAUUAUUUAAUAUAAUUCAUCUUCUGAUACUGAUAAAAAUCUUAAUCUCAUAAUCUUAUUCCAGGACAGGAGGUUCUACUGUAUCUACUGAGUUCUCCCACAAAAUUACAUUACAGCACAUGUGGCUGUAAGCAAGGCUAUAAUAAACGUUCAUUGAUGCCGAGAUGGGUAGUAUGUUUUUAAUUCUAGAUAUAGCGUAAAAAGCUUUAUUCAAGAUUAGAUUUUUAGUCUGCAUUUAUAUAAAAAAUAGUUGUUUUUAGAACUCUUUAGCGACGUAUUAGUAUAAUAUAAUAUUCAUAGACGUAUCUAUUAACAUAGACUGAGCCUAACCUCCGCGCUUCCUGACGACAAGAUCUCUUGGACAGGUUUGCGGUAUCUCUUUCUUGCACAUUGUAUCGAGAAACUAAGUGGGGGUAUUGGGACCGUGAAAGUUCCGGAAGAGCGACACCUGGUUUCAUAGCUCAGCAACAUUUUUAGCACUUUUAAUUAUAUCGGCCAAUUAUAUUAGUCCUGGUUACUGGAUAAUUGUCAAGGCCAUAGCCAAAAAUAGAAUAAGAAGAAAAGAAUUUCCCCAAGAGGAGGACACUUGGGAAAUUGUGAAGAAAAUAGACAUACAUUCAAGUAAUGAAGAACAACCUAUGUAUAUUCUUGCUAAAAUCUGCCGAGUUGGAACCGUUACACGGGGUACGUCCGAAAUAACCUGUUCCUUACAAUCAGCCCUGUGAUGGAU